GUGCUUGCUUCGGCAGCACAUAUACUAAAAUUGGAACAAUACAGAGAUUAGCAUGGCCCCUGCACAAGGAUGAUACGCAAAUUCGUGGAACGUUCCGUAUUUUU
rnacentral:snRNA from 1 species